UAAUCCUAAGAAGAAAUUUAAAAGUUAAGAGUUGGAAAGAUCUGACCAAUGGGAUGCAAUCCAACAGACAAGAAUGUCAUAUAGAAACACAAUUUCCCUUUGGACUUUAAAUCAAGCAAUGUCAAUAAGCAAGUAGCAUAAUGAAGAGCAAGUCAUCAAAUAAAGAUAGCCACAUGCAAGCAAGCAACUUCAUAGUCUUCUUCUUCUCAUGUAUCAG
rnacentral:lncRNA from 1 species